GAUGAACGCUGGCGGCGUGCCUAAUACAUGCCAGUCGAGCGAACAGACGAGGAGCUUGCUCCUCUGACGUUAGCGGCGGACGGGUGAGUAACACGUGGAUAACCUACCUAUAAGACUGGGAUAACUUCGGGAAACCGGAGCUAAUACCGGAUAACAUGUUGAACCGCAUGGUUCAACAGUGAAAGACGGUCUUGCUGUCACUUAUAGAUGGAUCCGCGCCGCAUUAGCUAGUUGGUAAGGUAACGGCUUACCAAGGCAACGAUGCGUAGCCGACCUGAGAGGGUGGUCGGCCACACUGGAACUGAGACACGGUCCAGACUCCUACGGGAGGCAGCAGUAGGGAAUCUUCCGCAAUGGGCGAAAGCCUGACGGAGCAACGCCGCGUGAGUGAAGAAGGUCUUCGGAUCGUAAAACUCUGUUAUUAGGGAAGAACAAAUGUGUAAGUAACUAUGCACGUCUUGACGGUACCUAAUCAGAAAGCCACGGCUAACUACGUG
rnacentral:rRNA from 1 species